rnacentral:lncRNA from 10 species
AAGGCACCUUCCUCUGUCAGAAUGGCCACCAUGGUACCAUCCGUGUUGUGGCCCAGGGCCUGCUGGACUCUGCUGGUCUGCUGUCUGCUGACCCCAGCCUUCAGUUUCGGGCUGCAAUGGUCCCCGCUUCCAGGAAGCCUUCCCUGACUCACCUCCUCCUAUGCUGGAUCAGAGCCUCUUCUGGCCUCCUUCUGAGUUCUCCCCGGUCUCUGAUGGAUUCUACCUUUCCCACUGGACCAUGAAGGCAGGAACCCUUCUGUCUCGGCACAAGGAGAGAGGUGUUAAAUGGUGGGGCCUGUUGAUGCGUGGGUUGGGGGACAAGGAAACAAACACCAGGACUUCUUCAUGUUCCUGAAGGUGUCCAGGGGCAGGAGUUCCUUUUGCGGGUGGAGCCCCAGAACCCUGUGCUCUCUGCUGGAGGGUCCCUGUUUGUGAACUGCAGUACUGAUUGUCCCAGCUCUGAGAAAAUCGCCUUGGAGACGUCCCUAUCAAAGGAGCUGGUGGCCAGUGGCAUGGGCUGGGCAGCCUUCAAUCUCAGCAACGUGACUGGCAACAGUCGGAUCCUCUGCUCAGUGUACUGCA